rnacentral:tRNA from 1 species
CAAAUUAAAGCUAAAUAUUAAGUAUUUCAUUUACAUUGAAAAGAAAUUGUUAAAUCAAUUAAUUUGA